ACAAUAUUGAGAAUUAGAGUUGGGUCAUAUGAAAUGCACACCCAAUUUUGAAAAAUUAAUUUUAAAAUAACGCACCUAAAAUAACUACGCGGUAUCAAGUUAAUGACAAAAUUUACGAGGGUCAUAGAAAAUUCAACUAAUGACACACCUCAAUUUCUAAAGUGUCAAAAUUAAUUAAGUGAGAACCAUAAAUUUUGAAAUUUUAUUUGGCAUGACACUCUUUAAUUUAUUACAUGCUAAAGUGAUAUCUAUCUCUGUCCAAAUUAAUUCAACUACUUAAGUUAAAUUGCACAACCAAUCAAGACAUAAUGGACAAAAUAAAUUGACAAAGAUCCAAAUAGCGAAGCCGCAAAAGUACAACAACAACAACAACUACCCAGUAUGCUCCCAUCAGGUGGGGUCUGGGAAGGAUAAUAUGUAGACGAGUCUUACCCCUGCCCGAAAGGGCAGUGAGGCUGCUUCCAAUCGACCCUCGGCGAAUAUAAUACAAAUGGGAAAGCUGCAUUAAGAAACAGAGGUAAAAUUAGAAACACAAGCAAGACAAAACCAAAUAAUAAAGCAUAGGUACUCCCACAAAAGUAACGUAAAUAAUUAUGAAAACAUAAGCAACAUAAAUACAGUCGCAUGCAAUAAUAAUAAGCAGUAACUACCAUACUAAAACACUAAUCACCUAUGAACCCUAACCUACAAUCCUGAUUCUAGACCUCCAGACUCCCCUAUCAAGGGUCAUAUCCUCGGUAACCUGCAUUUUUCUUUUUUCUUUUUUUCUUUUACUGCUUAUAUUUUCUUUUAUUCACUGUUUAUUUAACAUUACCUUUUAUUUUAUUUUUAUUUUAUUUUUCUUUUCUUCUUCUAUGUCACAUUGCAACAACUAGCCAUCUUCUUUCUCAUCUUCACCAUUGCAAAUUGCUUAUACUCAAUUUUUUUCCAUCAUCGGGGCCCCUCCUCCGAACAUGCCCGAACCACCUCAGCCGCAAAAGUAAUUAUCCAAAAAAAUAAGUAUUCAAACCAUUGCGGGAAAAAAAUAAACAACUAGACAAAUAACGUGACAGAAUAUAAAUAAGUAAAAAGAGCACACCUGAACCUAGGAAGGGCCAUUACAGGAUUAUAUUAUUACCUGGUUCCCUUAACCUAUUAAUGUGUCAUAUUUUAAAAUCAAGCAAAAUAAUUAAACACAUGACUUGGCGGAUUUACCCAUCUCAUAUUCCCCAAAUUUCACAACCCAACUCUUUAUACCCAAAUCACUGAAUUAACGAAUAGUACUAGUAAUUAUGCCAUGUUUUAAUUAACAAAAAAAAAUAAAACAAAAGCUACUGUGAAAACCAGUAACAUCGAGAAAGUUCAAGAAAAGCCCUAUGCCAAAAGCAACUGAGAUGCCUUGAUAUCCCAAGCUGAAAUGGAAAUAGAUUCCCAAGCUAAACACAUAUCACUCAACAAAUGCUGAAGUAAACACAUGGAUACAGAUUCCACAAUAUUGACGCUAGAAAAUAGUUAUAUUGUUUUAGACUGAAAAUCAUACUUCGACAGCAAAAAUAUAGCUCAAAAUUAUCCAAAUGAAGCUGAAAUGGAAGGCUAAAGACUGAAAUGUUCAACAGGAUAUUUAGCAGCAGCUAAAACAGUGAUUUCCUAAGCCCAUGGGCAAAUUUGAACAAAACUCAGCCAAAAUUGCAGCAAUCGACAGCAGCAAUAAAUCACAAUCAUCCCCAAAUCAAAGAAGAGAAGGGAUCGAAGAAGCAAUGAACAAUUCCAACGCACUGAUUAACCGUAGUAGGGCGUCAUUCGCUGGAAACUCCCUUCAUUCACCGGAGCAGGUAGUCACCGGAUUUGCAAGGUCAAAAAUUGAGAGAGAUUUCAUGGGUUCCAAACUUGAAGAAAGAGGUGUCUCUAUUGCUUUGUGAGUGUGAAUCGUGAAUCAGGUGAGAGAUGAGAGUCACUGGUAUUUGCUGUAGAUCAGAGGUGCAAGAAGAUUGAUCCAGGCCCGUUGCUCUCUGGUUUUUUGAGGGAGAUGAAGAAGGAAUCCGAAGAAAGGGGAAAAAGGGAAAGCGGCGCUGGGUUCUGA
rnacentral:lncRNA from 1 species